rnacentral:rRNA from 1 species
AUGGCCUUCGCGGCCAUGAGGGGAGGGGGGUCGCAGAGAAUCGGCCCAAGCGACUGUUUAGCAAAAACACAGGUGUCUGCAAAGUCGCGCAAGACGACGUAUAGGCACUGACGCCUGCCCGGUGCCGGAAGGUUAAGGGGAGAGGUUAGGCGCAAGCCGAAGCUUUGAACCGAAGCCCCGGUAAACGGCGGCCGUAACAAUAACGGU